GCCGGUAUAGCUCAGUUGGUAGAGCAACUGAUUUGUAAUCAGUAGGUCGCGGGUUCGACUCCUGCUGCCGGCACCA
rnacentral:tRNA from 7 species